rnacentral:rRNA from 1 species
GUGCUUGCACUGGGUGGAUGAGUGGCGAACGGGUGAGUAAUACGUGAGUAACCUGCCCUUGACUCUGGGAUAAGCCUGGGAAACUGGGUCUAAUACUGGAUACGACAUGUCACCGCAUGGUGGUGUGUGGAAAGGGUUUUACUGGUUUUGGAUGGGCUCACGGCCUAUCAGCUUGUUGGUGGGGUAAUGGCUCACCAAGGCGACGACGGGUAGCCGGCCUGAGAGGGUGACCGGCCACACUGGGACUGAGACACGGCCCANNCUCCUACGGGAGGCAGCAGUGGGGAAUAUUGCACAAUGGGCGAAAGCCUGAUGCAGCGANNNCGCGUGAGGGAUGACGGCCUUCGGGUUGUAAACCUCUUUCAGCACGGAAGAAGCGAAAGUGACGGUACGUGCAGAAAAAGCGCCGGCUAACUAC